UCGAAAAUCGGUAGACGCUACGGACUUAAAAUCCGUCGACUUUAGAAAUCGUGAGGGUUCAAGUCCCUCUAUCCCCA
rnacentral:tRNA from 1 species